GCAUAUCAAUAAGCGGAGGAAAAGAAACUAACAAGGAUUCCCCUAGUAGCGGCGAGCGAAGCGGGAAGAGCUCAAAUUUAUAAUCUGGCACCUUCGGUGUCCGAGUUGUAAUCUCUAGAAGUGUUUUCCGCGUUGGACCGCACACAAGUCUGUUGGAAUACAGCGGCAUAGUGGUGAAACCCCCGUAUAUGGUGCGGACGCCCAGCGCUUUGUGAUACACUUUCAAUGAGUCGAGUUGUUUGGGAAUGCAGCUCAAAUUGGGUGGUAAAUUCCAUCUAAAGCUAAAUAUUGGCGAGAGACCGAUAGCGAACAAGUACCGUGAGGGAAAGAUGAAAAGCACUUUGGAAAGAGAGUUAACAGUACGUGAAAUUGUUGGAAGGGAAACGCUUGAAGUCAGACUUGCUUGCCGGAGCUUGCUUCGGUUUGCAGGCCAGCAUCAGUUUUCCGGGGUGGAUAAUGACGGUUUGAAGGUAGCAGUCUCGGCUGUGUUAUAGCUUUCCGUUGGGAUACGCCCUGGGGGACUGAGGAACGCAGCGUGCUUUUUGCGAAAGACUCGUCUUUUUCACGCUUAGGAUGCUGGUGGAAUGGCUUUAAACGACCCGUCUUGAAACACGGACCAAGGAGUCUAACAUGCUCGCGAGUAUUUGGGUGUCAAACCCGGAUGCGCAAUGAAAGUGAAUGUAGGUGGGAACCGCAAGGUGCACCAUCGACCGAUCUGGAUUUUUUAAGAUGGAUUUGAGUAAGAGCGCGUAUGUUGGGACCCGAAAGAUGGUGAACUAUGCCUGAAUAGGGCGAAGCCAGAGGAAACUCUGGUGGAGGCUCGUAGCGGUUCUGACGUGCAAAUCGAUCGUCAAAUUUGGGUAUAGGGGCGAAAGACUAAUCGAACCAUCUAGUAGCUGGUUCCUGCCGAAGU
rnacentral:rRNA from 1 species